AACGAACGCUGGCGGCAGGCCUAACACAUGCAAGUCGAGCGCGCCCUUCGGGGUGAGCGGCGGACGGGUGAGUACCGCGUGGGAACGUGCCCUUUUCUACGGAAUAGCCUCGGGAAACUGAGAGUAAUACCGUAUACGCCCUUUGGGGGAAAGAUUUAUCGGAAAAGGAUCGGCCCGCGUUGGAUUAGGUAGUUGGUGGGGUAAUGGCCUACCAAGCCGACGAUCCAUAGCUGGUUUGAGAGGAUGAUCAGCCACACUGGGACUGAGACACGGCCCAGACUCCUACGGGAGGCAGCAGUGGGGAAUCUUAGACAAUGGGGGCAACCCUGAUCUAGCCAUGCCGCGUGAGUGAUGAAGGCCUUAGGGUUGUAAAGCUCUUUCAGCUGGGAAGAUAAUGACGGUACCAGCAGAAGAAGCCCCGGCUAACUCCGUG
rnacentral:rRNA from 1 species